UUUCCGUAGGUGAACCUGCGGAAGGAUCAUUAAAGAGUUAGGGUCUUCUAGGCCCGAUCUCCCAACCCUUUGUUUAUUGAACCUCUGUUGCUUCGGCGGACCCGUCUCACGGCCGCCGGAGGACCGCUGAAAGGCGUCCUCUGGCCAGUGUCUGCCGAUAGCCCACCACUUAAACUCUGAAUAAAUCGUGUCAUAUGUCUAAGUCUAUGAUUAAAUUAAAGCAAAACUUUCAACAACGGAUCUCUUGGUUCUG
rnacentral:misc_RNA from 1 species